rnacentral:rRNA from 1 species
UACGUAGGGGGCAAGCGUUGUCCGGAAUCAUUGGGCGUAAAGAGCGUGUAGGCGGCUCGGUAAGUCCGCUGUGAAAGUCCAGGGCUCAACCCUGGAAUGCCGGUGGAAACUGUCGGGCUAGAGUCCGGAAGAGGCGAGUGGAAUUCCUGGUGUAGCGGUGAAAUGCGCAGAUAUCAGGAGGAACACCGGUGGCGAAGGCGGGUCUCUGGGCCGAUAUUGACGCUGAGGAGCGAAAGCGUGGGGAGCGAACAGG